AUUGAACGCUGGCGGCAGGCCUAACACAUGCAAGUCGAGCGAGCGGCGGACGGGUGAGAAAUGUCUGGGAAACUGCCUGAUGGAGGGGGAUAACUACUGGAAACGGUAGCUAAUACCGCAUACCAUCAGAAGUGCCCAGAUGGGAUUUGCUAGUAGGUGGGGUAACGGCUCACCUAGGCGACGCUCCCUAGCUGGUCUGAGAGGAUGACCAGCCACACUGGAACUGAGACACGUUCCAGACUCCUACGGGAGGCGGCAGUGGGGACUAUUGCACACUGGGCGCAAGCCUGAUGCAGCCAUGCCGCUUGUGUGAAGAAGGCCUUCGGGUUGUAAAGCACUUUCAGCGGGGAGGCUUUACCCGCAGAAGAAGCACCGGCUAACUCCGUGCCAGCAGCCGCGGUAAUAC
rnacentral:rRNA from 1 species